AAUGUUACCAUUGCGCCCUUUUCUAUUCUUAAUUUUGAGAUUUUCGCUCAAUUAAUUUCGAAACUCGAACCACGUUGAAACCCUAACUCGCUCUAAUUGCCUCGAAGAAAAUCCAUCACUGCAGGUAUCCGGAUUCUCCUCUCUGAUUACUGAGAUCGUUGUUUCAAUGACGUCGAUAACAGCAGAGAAAGCUAUAAUCACGUUGCGUGGAUCUGCGGCCAUCGUCAGCGAGUUCUUAUGUUAUGCUUGGAACAGGUGAGAAUCGAUGGAUCGUGGGAUUCCCAUUAAUUUUCGCGACUUUUUUCAGCUUAGGGUUUUGAGUUUAUCCAGAAGAGAGCUUCGUCAAAGUGAAGAAAUAUGGAUUGCCAGUGUUGCCUAUCCAAGACGAAGCCGUUAAGUCCUUCCUUCCUCUUCAACCUGACUUCUCAGAUUUCCGGAUUAGCAAAACUAGUGAGAGAUUGUGUCUUGGGUCUUGCUGCACAUGAUUAUGUCGGAACUUAGGCGUCUGAUUCGAAAAACAUCAUGUGUGUAAAGAAUGGCUUGUGGCGGGAAAGUUGUACUUGUGAUAAUGAGCAAAGCGACCUCCGAGGUCUUAGAGAGAUGGAACUUCCGCAUUGAAACCGAUAACGAGGUUGUUCAAAAAGGAAUCGAGAGGAGAAUACUCGAUAUUCAUCUGGUCCUCCUCUCUGAUAAACCCUUCAAUCCGUUCUAACGACACUUUGGAUUGAGCCACCAGUG